rnacentral:misc_RNA from 1 species
GAUGAAGAACGCAGCGAAAUGCGAUAAGUAAUGUGAAUUGCAGAAUUCAGUGAAUCAUCGAAUCUUUGAACGCACAUUGCGCCCGCCAGUAUUCUGGCGGGCAUGCCUGUUCGAGCGUCAUUUCAACCCUCAAGCCCCCGGGCUUGGUGUUGGGAUCGGCGUGCCCUCGCGGCGCGCCGUCCCCUAAAUCUAGUGGCGGUCUCGCUGUAGCUUCCUCUGCGUAGUAGCAACACUCGCACUGGAUCGCAGCGCGGCCACGCCGUUAAACCCCCCACUUCUGAAAGUUUGACCUCGGAUCAGGUAGGAAUACCCGCUGAACUUAAGCAUAUCAAUAAGCGGAGGA